GCUGGGUGCGGUGCCUCGAGCCUGUAAUCCCAGCACUUUGGGAGGCUGAAACAGGAGGAUUACUUGAGGACAGGAGUUUGAUACUAGCCUGAGCAACAUGGAGAAACCUUGUCUUUUUNNNNNNNNNNCGAGACUCUAGUCUACAAAAAAAAAAAAAAAAAAAAAAGACAAGGUUUCUCCAUGUUGCUCAGGCUAGUAUCAAACUCCUGUCCUCAAGUAAUCCUCCUGUUUCAG
rnacentral:SRP_RNA from 1 species